AAUAGAUACCCGGGUAGUCCACGCCGUAAACGAUGAGUGCUAAGUGUUAGAGGGUUUCCGCCCUUUAGUGCUGCAGCUAACGCAUUAAGCACUCCGCCUGGGGAGUACGGUCGCAAGACUGAAACUCAAAGGAAUUGACGGGGGCCCGCACAAGCGGUGGAGCAUGUGGUUUAAUUCGAAGCAACGCGAAGAACCUUACCAGGUCUUGACAUCCUCUGACAACUCUAGAGAUAGAGCGUUCCCCUUCGGGGGACAGAGUGACAGGUGGUGCAUGGUUGUCGUCAGCUCGUGUCGUGAGAUGUUGGGUUAAGUCACGCAACGAGCGUAACCCUUGAUCUUAGUUGCCAGCAUUUAGUUGGGCACUCUAAGGUGACUGCCGGUGACAAACCGGAGGAAGGUGGGGAUGACGUCAAAUCAUCAUGCCCCUUAUGACCUGGGCUACACACGUGCUACAAUGGAUGGUACAAAGGGCUGCAAGACCGCGAGGUCAAGCCAAUCCCAUAAAACCAUUCUCAGUUCGGA
rnacentral:rRNA from 1 species